AGGAGAAGGCCCCGGCCAAGUCUGGAGGCGGAAGAAGAAGAAGAAGAAAGUGGAGCAAGGGCAAGCAGAAGGAGAAGGUCAACAACGCCAUGCUCUUCGACCAGCCCACCACCUAUGACAAGCUGCUCUCCGAGGUAAUGGAUAUGCUUGGUCCCAGCCUUUGGGAUGGUUCUGAAAAAUUAUUUUGGGAGCAUCAAAAGGGUGGGGAAGGCAAAGGUAAUCACAAAAUGUUAAGUAUUCAAAUUUCUUAUGGGUUAGAUAAGUAGCAUUGUGGCACUUGUAAAGGCUCGAGUUCCCUAUAUUUUUUAACCAAUUAAGUGGAAGUAUAGUUCUUGAAUCAGUUCUUUGAUUCUUUCUUACAGUGGUUAUAACAGAUGACAUUUCAUUGGUUAUUUAAACCUAUUCAGUGCUUAACUACUCAUG